rnacentral:lncRNA from 1 species
CUCAACACUACACUCCAUCUCUCCCUCUCUCUAUCUUAAUCUUCUUCAUAUCUUCAAGUCUUGUUCUUGAAGAUUCAACAUCCUUUCUAGUAAACUUCAAGAUAGUGUGAAGAUCUAAGGUUGUUCCCAAGGUGUUGUCAAGUGAAUACAAGCUUCCUAUCAUCCCAUAACUUACUUGAAUCUUGAAGAUACAUUUCGAUUUAAAGCUCAAGAAAUGGUGAAGUUGCUUAGUCUUGAUUGCGAAUAGGAAGCAUGCUCACUUAGGACCGGACGAGGCCUUAGUGAUUUAAUAAUGAUAUUAGUCUAUGUUUGAUUUGCUUGUUUAACUUUAAAACCAUGUUUAAUAUUUAAUGAAAUGAAACUCUUCGUAUCCAUGGUUUGAAACAAUAAUUCUGUUACAACACUCCCCGGCGUUUCCGCCACGAUUUGUCGUUUUACGUGGUCGGGGUGUGACAG